AACGUAGGUGGCAAGCGUUAUCCGGAUUUACUGGGCGUAAAGCGUGUGCAGGCGGCCUGUCAAGUGGUGUAUGAAAUAUCCAGGCUCAACCUGGAGGGGUUAUGCCAGACUGGCAGGCUAGAGUGCGAGAGAGGGGCGUGGAAUUCCGGGUGUAGUGGUGAAAUGCGUAGAGAUCCGGAGGAACCCCAGAGGCGAAGGCGGCGCCCUGGCUCGCCACUGACGCUCAGACACGACAGCAUGGGGAGCGAACGGG
rnacentral:rRNA from 1 species